AAUAAACGCGGUUAUGGAUUUUAGUGCCUAAUUUUAACCAUCCGUCUUAUUUAAAAUACUUUUAUGAUUAGUAUUUUCAUUUUUCUUAGAUGAUAAAAUAUAAAUAAUACUCUAUGUGUGACUUAACUUUUAUUUUCUUUUAUAAAUUUUUCAAAUAAGAUGAACGGUUAAAUGUUGGACACGGCUGCACUUAUA
rfam:Oryza barthii chromosome 11, whole genome shotgun sequence.